CACACUUUUAUUUAAUUUUCCGUCCAUAAUUAACAAUUUUGUUAAAGGAAAUGAACAGUAUUGUUAUCAUGUUUUUCUUAUAUAACAGCAAAAAGUUUGUAUAAUGCUAUGAUGUCGUUAUGUCAACAUGUCGAAGACACAUUUGGUUUCUGGACAAUGACUUUAGUUUAUGUGAAUGGAUUUGUAUGAAAUUUUGUCAGAAGGUUCAAUACCACAAAAAAGGUUUAGAUUGAUUUUGGGGUUAUGGUACUAACAGUUCAGGAAUUAGGGGCUAAAAACAAGCAUUUUUGUAGCUUCAAGACAAUAACUUGUGUUUAAGUGUAUAGAUCUCUCUCUGAAAUUGUACUACAGGGUACCGUGGAUUCAUUAUUAUUUGUUGGAUACCAAUUUUCGUCCUUUACCCACGAAAAUUGGUAUCCAG
rnacentral:lncRNA from 1 species